CUACGGCCAUAUCACAUUGAAACACCGGAUCUCGUACGAUCACUCGAAGUUAAGCAACAUCGAGUCUGCUCAGUAUCUAGAUGGGUGAUAGCUUGGGAAUACCGGGUGGUGUAA